GCAAUAAAACUACUUGGUUAGGUUUAGAAACAGAUGAUGGUUUGGGUUAAUAUAACUAUAGAAGUGGCGUAACUUAAUACAGAAGUUGCGUGACAAAUAAAUCAACAUUGACUUUUUGUUUCACAC